rnacentral:rRNA from 1 species
AGCGAACGCUGGCGGCAGGCUUAACACAUGCAAGUCGAACGGGCGUAGCAAUACGUCAGUGGCAGACGGGUGAGUAACGCGUGGGAACGUACCUUUUGGUUCGGAACAACCCAGGGAAACUUGGGCUAAUACCGGAUAAGCCCUUACGGGGAAAGAUUUAUCGCCAAAAGAUCGGCCCGCGUCUGAUUAGCUAGUUGGUGAGGUAACGGCUCACCAAGGCGACGAUCAGUAGCUGGUCUGAGAGGANGAUCAGCCACAUUGGGACUGAGACACGGCCCAAACUCCUACGGGAGGCAGCAGUGGGGAAUAUUGGACAAUGGGCGCAAGCCUGAUCCAGCCAUGCCGCGUGAGUGAUGAAGGCCCUAGGGUUGUAAAGCUCUUUUGUGCGGGAAGAUAAUGACGGUACCGCAAGAAUAAGCCCCGGCUAACUUCGUGCCAGCCGCCGCAGU